rnacentral:lncRNA from 1 species
CAUCUGGAGGUUCGCUGCCUCAAAAUUCUCUCAGAAAGCAAUCUCUAGGAAAGGUGGUUGUUCAGCCAAGUAUUAUAGUGACUGCUAAUCCUCCACCUCGCAAUGUGGUGUCUACUACUUCAGUUCCUCAGAAUUCUAUAGCAGCUAAGUUGGCAUGUUCUAGUGUUGCCGCUGCUAGUCCUCCACCUCGCAAUCUGGUGUCUACCACUCCAGUUCCUCGUAAUUCUAUAACAGCUAAUUUGGCAUCUUCUAGUGUCGCGGCUGCUAGUCCUCCACCUCGCAAUCUGGUGUCUACUACUCCAGUUCCUCAUAAUUCUAUAGCAGCUAAUUUGGCAUCUUCCAGUGUUGCGGCUGCUAGUCCUCCACCUCGCAAUCUAGUGUCUACUACUCCAGUUCCUCGAAAUCCUAUAGCAGCCAAUGUGGCAUCUUCUAGUGUUGCGGCUGCUAGUCCACCUCGCAAUCUGGCGUCUACUACUAAAGUUUCUCAGAAUUCUAUAGCAGCUAAUUUGGCAUCUUCUAGUGUUUCGGCUACUAGUACAGCAUCUCGUGG